AAAAAAAAAAAAAGUAUCUCUUCCUCAUCUGCUUGUUGCUUUUUCUUUUCCUCUUUUCAAUCAGACUGGCAGUGAUUGGCCCAUUGAAAACACCCUGUGCCCCGGGAGGUCUCCUGCAAGUUGAGCGGGAGGUGAAACGACUCAACGGGCCAUUACUCAGGGUGCAAUUGAGCAAGUGUCAGACGUUCUCCUCCUGCCGCUUUCCUGGAAGGUGAACGACGGAGUUGUAUCUCCCCCACAACAUCUGCUGGACUGAUGGCCCCCCCUAGGAAAAUUCCUAGGAAAAUGCCGGUGAGCCCAUGUGAGAAUACAGCGGGUAAAUCCCUGGGAGUCUUCGAGCAAGCGGGCGCUCUUGCCCCCGUGUGCCGCCCCUCGCCUCGAUGUGUGGAAAUGUUCCCGCUGCUGUGAACGCAUCCGACCCGGACAGUCUCCUGCUGCGCACAUCAUGCGUGAGCCACAAAAUGUCCAGACCCAAUUUUGAUUCGGAGUUGGUGUCCAAAAACACAGUUAAAGUUGAACGAACUUUGAUGAAACGAUACUUUAUUUCAGUGCAAUUCAACUUGGGUCCUUUUCUAAUAAACUUCCCCCUUAUUAUUGCCAAUGACUGAUAUAAAUUGUGGGGGUGGGCAUGGACGUAUUUUUCCUCUUUUGAAUGUGGGCAAGCAAAAAAGGAGUCUUUGUGCUAUUCUUACCCACUGCUAGCAGUCUCUUUGAGGUUUAUAUUCCUGAUAUUUAUAUUAAAACUUAAUAUUUACCGCUAAUAAGUGUGGAAAACUACAGUACCCCUCCA